UCGAACGCGAAAGUUUUCUUCGGAAAGCGAGUAGAGUGGCGCACGGGUGAGUAACGCGUAAGUAAUCUACCCUGGUAUCUGGGAUAACCAACCGAAAGGUUGGCUAAUACCGGAUACGCUGGUAACAGGAAAGGUGGCCUCUUCAUGAAAGCUACUGUACCAGGAGGAGCUUGCGUACCAUUAGCUAGUUGGUAGGGUAAUGGCCUACCAAGGCGACGAUGGUUAGCGGGUCUGAGAGGAUGAUCCGCCACACUGGAACUGGAACACGGACCAGACUCCUACGGGAGGCAGCAGUGAGGAAUAUUGCGCAAUGGGGGAAACCCUGACGCAGCGACGCCGCGUGGAUGAUGAAGGCCUUCGGGUCGUAAAAUCCUGUCAGAUGGAAAGAAGUGUAUAGAUGUUAAUAGCAUUUAUAUUUGACGGUACCAUCAAAGGAAGCACCGGCUAACUCCGUGCCAGCAGCCGCGGUAAUACGGAGGGUGCAAGCGUUGUUCGGAAUUACUGGGCGUAAAGCGCGCGUAGGCGGUUUUAUAAGUCAGAUGUGAAAGUCCACGGCUCAACCGUGGAAGUGCAUUUGAAACUGUAUUACUUGAGUACUGG
rnacentral:rRNA from 1 species